rnacentral:rRNA from 1 species
GGGCGGGGCGAGCAGGGCGAGCGGUACCGGCACCGGCUACUGGCGCCGGGUGGCAGGGCGGGACAGGCGGCGUCGCCGGUACCUGCCAGGAACGACGCGGCGUAGGGGACGGCCAGGAGGAAGAGGACGCAGCGGGCCUCCAUACGCCGGCGACGAACGCAACAACGACGGGGACACUCGAGCGCGUACACGAGGCGGGGUAUCCGCAGCGGUAGCUGACGUCUUCCAGGUACGGCCCGGGUUUGAGCUCCUGGUGGCAAACCCACCGGGCACCAAAUCGCUGGCGGCAGUGCGGCCUGGUGGGGGCCGGGACCGGAUCCCAAACCACCCGCUCGAGUCACGGCAGAAGGUCACCACCUGCUCCUCUAGGCCGUGCUUGGUGUGUGUCCCUCCUCGAGUUGGAGACGACGGAGACGCACGGGGGUCCUUAUUUCUACCGUUGAAAACCCCCGUUCCAAUAAAAUUUCAGACUACUAACGAUACAGCACGUUCUCCCACAACUCGACUAUCCAUUAACGUCCUCAGCUACUAUACAUAUAAGGUCGUGGAAAUGAGUUCCCAGGUUGUUUCCGUCGUAACUGGAGAGGAAUAGAUGUCGGAUCACUACCGGUGGUGGUCAAAACUUCGACCAACUCCAGGAAGCAUGAGAAACUCUCCACCGUGUGUAUGAUAUCUUCGCGAGGACCUGACUCUUCGUAGAACCAGGGUUUCCGCUCAGUUAACUAAUGUCUCCACAAGAAGUAGUACUACCGAGACAAAACUACGGUCAAAGGAACCUAGUUAACCUCCAUUGUACAUAAAAAGAAUGGGAAAAAACACCGAACAUAACUAUAAAAGGAACACACUGGGGUGGUUUUCUAUAGAGCUACGUUGAUAAAAGAUUAGAUUUGUACCUACUGAAAGUCGUUAGAGAAUCAAAAGUACGUAAAUCGUUCUUACGAUGAAACAAUGAACCCAAAAUAUAAAAGGAACACACUGGGGUGGUUUUCUAUAGAGCAACGUCGAUAAAAGAUUAGAUUUGUACCUACUGAAAGUCGUUAGAGAAUCAAAAGUACGUAAAUCGUUCUUACGAUGAAACAAUGAACCCAACUAUUUUAUCGAUGUCGUGUAACUCCGUUUUCCGUUUACAUGUACGAGGAAUAAUGAAUAGUCUUUUGAAAAGGUCCCUCAAAAAAACUACAAAGAGUAUACUUUAACCUAAGUAUGAUUACGACAAGAAUGUAGGGUUUACUUUCCCAGGUACGAUAUCUUUAUUUAACGAAAUUAAGUGUAAGAAAUCUUCAUAUACGUUAGCACCUGAUCUACGUUUUAAAGACAACAUACAGUAGGAAAUUGACUGAUGCUUAGUCGCAAAAUAACAUGUUUACGAAGGACCAUACCCUGGACCUAUUCUUCAUAAACCGGACCUGUAAACUUAAAUAAGCCUGUAAAAUAGAAUGAUAUACCACUUGACCCUAGUUGUAUACACCUGUACGUUUUUAUGUACGCGAUUCUGAGUAUAUUGAUAAGUAUUGUACUCAAUCCUUGUUCACGUCUAGACAUUAAAAGUCGUUCGCUCUCUCCUAAUGUAAAUCAACAAAGUCAAAAUUUGAUGUGAACUCGGUGAUAAGGACUAUCAAGGUUUGAUUACAAAACAAACCGAACGACGAACGUACUUAACUUGGUACGAAGGUCAAAAUUUGAUGUGCACUCGGUGCCAAUUACUAUUAAGGUUUGACUACAAAACAGACGGAACGUACUUAACUUGGUACGAUGAGACUUUACAACCAGAUCGCCUAAGAAUGCUUACCCGUUUGAAUCCUUAUGUAACUUAAAGAUCUACAAAAAUCGGAUGAGAAAAGUAACGAAAAGGUUACAUCCAACAAUCGUACAAUGUGAAAAGUACGUAUACGAGACAACAACGGAGAUGGAGGAGAAAGAUGUCCAACGCUAUGUUCAGUGCCUGGUCUUCUGGUAUUCGUCCGUAAGCUACGAAGAGCGAAACGGAUUAGGUCGUCAUCCCGCAGUGACUGUCCCACCGCGUGUUGAGACGAAAGUGCCUGAUAGGUGCUCAGCCCCUGCUGAUUAACUCGUACGCCGACCAACUUCGUUUGCUGUUAGACCGUCGUCUUCGAACACCAACUCGGCUCGUAACAUUCCUAGGUUCAUCUUGCUACGAGGUAGAGAACAAUCUCGUCGGACCCGAAGGGUUCCGGUAAAUGGCACAGUCUCCUAUGAACGUCUUGUGCUAUUCAUUGGCAAGAAAAGUUGUGGUGACAGGUCUUAUCGCCCUCGACAGGUUGCGUUAACAACUAAUGAACACACAACGAGAGGUUUACUCCGUUACCCCCUUCUAAGACGGCGGAAACUCCGUUAAUACAUGUACCUCUUGCGGUGUUUGUAACACCGUUUCCUUGACUUUUAUGCUUACCGACUCGUUUACGUGGAGCGCGGAACGGUUCCGCGCUAAGGAUUAAGGAUAGAUCAGGUACUACUACGAGCCGCUCGACACCGCGGACACUUCGGCGGUAACGGAACCGGUGGUGGCGCCCAUCCUACCCGCCGGGAUAGUCACCUACCUGGAAAAAGCAGAUUACUACCGUGUCGUCGACGACCGGCGGCUGGGCUGUAGGUUCUGGAACUGUGGCAGAGUGGGCUCUAAGCGGCGAUGGGGUUGGUUUCUGUGCUCGACUUUCCUGGGCGGAAAGCGUGGGGACCCGACGGGGGUCACGGCUCUGGGUUAUCCGGCCGGUUUUGAUCGGAGGUAGUGGAGCAGGAUGCCGUGGCCCGCGCUCUGCUCGAGCCAGGACGACGGCCCGCGCUCUGCUCGUAUUAGGACGACGGCCCGUGCUCUGUUCGAGCCAGGACGACGGCCCGCGCUCUGUUCCAGUCAGGACGACGGCCCGCGCUCUGCUCGGGCCAGGACGACGGACCACGCUCUGCUCACUACCUGGCGCCGACCCCUUCCCGGUUGGUAGCUGCUUCUAAAGGCCGGCGGCGGAACUUGCUGGGUUUGGUGGCGGCACUCGGUGGUGGUGCAGCACCGUCGGGUGUAGGUGUGCGGCCCUGGUGAUCCCCCUCGGGGCGCGGCGGCAUGGCUGUACGUGGUGACCUUCUCCGUCCGGGUCGUCGUCUGCGGCGGUCGGUGGGGUGGUACCGUGCGGGGACGAGGCCGGUGGAGGUCGUGGGUUCCUGGCGGCCUCUGCUGGCCUGGUGUGGCGGAGUCGGGCGGCGGGCGCUCUUGACGGCCGGCCUCCUCCUCGGGCGGUCUAGACCUAGCCUGGCGGUGUUGGGGCUGCGGCGGGUGGGACGCGUCCGUGGGAGGCGGCUGGGGUCGUCGGGAGGUGCGCGGCGGUGGCAGCGGCCCUACUGGUGGCAGCAGCGCGGGACGGGUCGCGGCGCGUAUGUGGGUUCCGCCAAAGGGGCGCGGUCGGUCGGGGCACGCUUCCCUCUUCUUCCGGGCGGCCGCGCGAAGCCGUCGCCGACCCCUUCCCGGGGGGGAGGGGGGGCGCGCGCUCGCCCGCUCAGCCCUCAUGAUACAGGAAAGUUGACAUUACUCCACCACCUCAGUCUCUAGGUACGUGACUACGUUCCAUACCGUGACCGGUAUGUUGUAUGCCUAGACGACUAGGAGCAAGUUAGACUGAGCAGACUUCGAGAAAGAUAGGACUGGCUACUAUGAGAAAGGACCAGCCGUAUACCAGUAAAUCGAUGACUCUAAUUCCGGGAAUACCUUCCCUCCCUCAAACAAGGUGUCGUUUAAUCUUCUCUCGUUUUAUCCCAUCGUCUAGUUAACCGACAAAUGCCAGCAUGACUCAGAACGUACCGAUAAACCUACUUGUUUCGACGUACGUGCUUUCCGGAUGAGAAAAACCUCCGGGACCCGACGAGCUCGAACUGACUUGACCCAUCGAACGACAUGGAGGGGUACACGGGCGCAGACGUACAACUAAUGGGCCAGCUAUUUUUCCUCCUAUAUCACUAUACCGGUGAAGCACUUUAUGAUGUGUAUACACGGAGUGGCUCAGUGGCGGCAGUACAUUGGGAGAGGGGGGAAGAAGAGGCCGCGGCCGCUGGGUGGGGGCGUGGGUGUGGGUGCUGUAAGUGGAGAAACGGAGUGUUCGACAGUCAAAAGAAAAGGUUACUUUAGCUGAUU